CUCGAGCGGCAAUGUUCUCCGCGUUCUCGAACUCGGACCUCAGAUCUUGGACUCCCGAAAGCCCAGUGAAAUCUAUGUAUAUCUAUGCAACAUCAACUGAGGCAUAGUCGAAAUCGGUACUUCGCACAAUCUAGCUCGAGUCGGUUCGAGUUGCUCAUCAAUUAAAAUUCCAUAUUAGUAUGCACGAAAAUAUAUAUGUUUUGAGAUCGACGACUACUGGUCAAUUCUCCGUUCGGGGUUAAGACCCUACCCAAGGCGCGAUAAUCGCAAUCAAAGUUCUCGUCGCCGAGCGGCCACCACAGCAACAUCCACAGCAACAACAUCAGCGAUGAGACUUUCCGGCGAGUGGGGAUCUCUAUCUCACACCCACUCCCUUGCUUGGAAUCACCAGAAAGCUAAACAUGAAAACAAUUCAGUACAUUUUAAGGUUAAGGAAGCCAAAAACAACUCUUUGAAGAAAAAAUAGGAGGGAGAAAUAUUAGAAUCGAUGGUGUGUAAAAAGAGAGUUAAAUAACUGUUGCUAAAUCGGACUCAAAUAACUAAGUGUUAUUGUGCUCUGAUUAAUCUAUGUAUAUUCUAAUUUAGCUGAUGAAUGCAUUCAGCCCAUCCAACCAUUUGCUGUGCAUCUUGGGCUGACAAAUUGUUGUAUUGUCGUAUUCUGGCUCCUCUGCUUUUCUGACAAGUACUUGACGCUUUUGCCCCGGCAGCAGUGGCAAUCAUAAUCGGGCAAUGCGGCAACAAUAAGACUCUGUGGCAGGCAUCGCAUUGUAUGUAGUUUCAUUCGUUUUAUUCGUUUAAAUUCAAUUGACUUUGAAUGCUCCAGCAAUGAAGGCAGCAGCGAAAUAAAAACACAAACACUCAGUCACACAGCCAUACCAGCCACAUCGUUGUCGUCUGUCAUGGAGCAAUUUUGAACGCUGCCGGCGAAUACGGGCAUCGGGCAUUGGGCAUCGGGCAACGGAAAACGAAUGAGGGUCAAUUAAGCCAAUUUAAAUUUAAUAAACUUAUGUAUUAUGUGCAAGAGGUUACUAGCCGUACACGACUUGCAAUGAUACACAUCUACAUGCAGACGGACUGCGAGGAGGGAGGGUCGGGAAAUUGAACAGGAAUUGUAGAGAAAUAUUUAUAUUUUUUUGGGGGAGGAAAACAUUUUGAUGAGACAGCUGCCACAGAAGGUUAAGUAUCUCGUACAGAUAUUAAUAACUCAGAAACUAAACGAUUAAGUGCAUAGUUCAGAACACAAUAACCUUACCGAGCGGAUGGAGGCAUCUUUGAGCUGUCACUUGUGACAGUGAUCCAGAGAAAGUACUUUCGCACUAAUUGAUUUAUCAUUGCAGAACAUGGGGCCACGGAACCCGGAGAAUAUCUCGAGAUCAAGGAUGGGGGCAACACAACGUACAUCGGAGCGAACGGCACAUUUCGUCCUCACAAUAAAUUAUGAACUAUAUACAGUUGCCGGUUCGGAGCGGUUAGACAAUUUCAAAUUACAGGGAGAAUCUCAGAAAACCGGAGUGGAGGAGUGCCAGAGUACCGGACCACCGGAGCAACGGAAUUCCGGAAUACCGGAGUGCCGGAGAGUUCCGGCCUUCUGUAUAAUCAUGUAUGUACAUAUCGCUUAGACCGCUAAUUAGGACUACUUAGGUCUAGUUAAAUACACGUAUGUGGUAGCUACACUUAAACACUCGAGUUAAUCGAAACGAAAAUCAAUAGGUAAUACUUUCAUAGAGGAUAUGGACAUGAUAUUCUCACAAAUGCGACUCCCGCAGUACUCUGCCGGGAACUCUGGAAGAGUGCAGGUCCUGUUCAGAUUAAAUGGAUAUAUAUUCGUUUAUUGGUAUACUAAAUAUGGCGUAAAUUAGUUGCAAUCGGCCUGCUCAAGUUUGCUUAUGUUUCUUGCAUUUUUUGCGCACAACAAUGAUCUCGGGUUAGCUUAGCGAGCGUUAGGAUGUCGGCGAUAUGUUAAGUUGACAGCGUUUGUUUUUCGGAAUAGGAUAGGGUAUGGAUCUGGGUUCCAGGAUAUCGGGAUUUCGGAUAUUGGAUAUUGGAUAUGGGUGUGUGGGUGAAACGUUAAACGAUAUGUUCUUUAGAAGUAGUUUCGUUUACUGCUCUCUCUCUCUCUCUCUCCACGAGAAUAUAUUCCUUAUCUGGCUUGGCUUAAUUACAACAACAGAUGACAACGAUUAUUUACAAAACGAGUGUAUUGCAGUUACACUUUUGGCAUUGCAUUAAGUACACAAGAUGCUUACGAGCUAGGAGAAGUCUUUCCUCAAACCAUGCGAAUAAAUACGUCUAGCUGCUAGGAUAUUAUUCGAUACGAUGCGGUACGAUACUCAUGUAUUAAUACAUUUGCCACUCUAUAUCAUUUGGUUUUUUGUACACUCAGAAGUAAGUAUGGGUGUGGUAGCUUUAUAUACAACUUUCCUGUAUGCGAUUCGAGGUGGUGACGAUCUCUGGACCGGUGCGAAAUCGGUACUCGCUCAACGACGACGUCACCGACGGAUUGUUCGGACUCAGCAGACUGACCUCCAUGGGCUGGGGCGUCAGGUGGUACGAGGACGUGGGCGUCGAGGUGCUCACACUAUAGUUCAGCGAACCCAACGGCGGACUGCAGGUGGUGAUGCCCUUUUUGUUCAGUGUAGCAUAGCUCUGUAUGGAGUGCGAUUUUUGGAGGGGAGAAGAAUGCAUGAGAGGAAAGCCCCGAAAGGAACACCAUGAGCUUUAAUUCUAGAUUUUAAUACUCACGAUUUGCUUGCUGGGCCGGAAGGUGUAGUGCAGCACCUCGUUCCCGGAGCUGCUCAUCAGCCCGAUGCUGGACAGACCCUCUGCCGCACCCAUGCCCACGUCACUGCCACCCUUCGUGAGCUCCGUUUCCCGGAGGUAAUCGCGCUGCAUCAGGCGAUUCGAAGGGCUUGCAAAUCCUGGCGGGGACACCAGGCUUUUCAGCGGACGUUUUUCUGCAAAUGCGUUAAUUAAGGACACUGAUGAUUACUUGCAACGAAGUUGCUGGUACUCUAAUAGAAUUCGUUUAGAUAUGGAUUAGUUCACAAGAAUUAAAUAUUUUUUUAAAGGAAAAAUUCUUUUGCAAGAUUUAGUGAAUACACUAUUUAAUUUUUUAACUAAAAGGUUAUUAUUCCCGUGGAGAUCCAGCAAGCAGUUAUGGGUACUCACCAUACUGAUUUGGUAUAACAUCGGGAUCGGUGUCGUCUAUAUCGGCCUGAUCGGCCAUGGGACUGUGCCGGUUCCUUGCAUUUGAGCGGAGUGUAUCGCCAGGCAUGGCCACUAGGCCAAUGGGCGAACUGCCCUUAAUCCCGCCAUCAAGGCCCACUCCCACGCCUCCACCGCCCACAUCCCCGAGAGCGCCGCAGUCGACCGCGUUGCGACCAUCACAGUUGAGGGGCAGGAGGCUGUGGUGCGGCUGAUGGUUGCCGGAUCCGUCCGUCUGAACGCCCGGAUGCAACGGGUCCAGCUGGCAGUCCGCCGGAAUCGUGAGCUGCGUGUGCUUGGCCACCUUCAGAUUGCUGUCGCUGCGCCUGCAAUUUAAAUGGGGCCAUUAGAGCAAAGCCGCAGCCAUUAGCCAUUAGCUUAGUUUUGGUGUCCGUACCGAUUGGAAAUCCUUCGGUAGAUGGCUGCCAGCAUGAUGCAGAAGAUGGCGAACAGCAGGCCGCAGAAAAGGGUCAGACCCGCCAGAAAUGGGGAGAGGGGCAUCGAGAGGCCGGUCGAGGCACCUGCGAAAUGCCGCAAAUAAAUUAUUACCACAUAAUUCCCAAUUACUUGGGUUCUUGGGCCCCAACCGCAACUCACCUGUGAACUUGGCCACGCCCUUGAAAUUGAUGUCGUCGAUUAUGGUGGGCUCCGAACGACCUUUGGCAUUUACGGCGAAUAUCACCAUGCGAUAGGUAGCCGCCUGGUCUAGGUUGUCUAUCACAAAGGUCACCGGUGUAUGCUAAAUAAUUUCGGGUAGAAGAAAAACCAACAAAACAAAAAUUAUAAUUACUUUCAGAAGAAGUUUAAAAACGCAAAAAUCCUUAUAAAUUUCUCUGAACUUCUCCUCCUGUUUACUCGAACUUUAAUGUUUACUGAACUUACAAAACGUAACAUCCAAAUUCGGUAAAAAAUAAAAAUAAAAAGCGUCCAUUGAAUUCUAACUCUAAUUUAAAGGAGGAGGAGGAGGAACUUAUCUGGAUAGAAAAACAUCUAACCACUAGGAAUAUAUUCAAAUGAUGCUAAUAAUUUACUGCAAGUCUAACCCACAUUAGCUUUUAAUCUCGCAAAAUCCAACAAAAUAAUUUAUUCACGGUGUUACAAAUUAUAUUAUUUUUUGGCAACUUAAAAAUGUAAGCGCAGAGCCCCAAAGUAUACAAUAUUACCAUCCGCUUAUCUCCUGCUGUUCUGAACACUGCGAGGCAAUUAAUUACUUUAAACCCCCAUUGAUUAGAGUAAGUCGCCGAUAAAGUUGUUUAAUGGAUUCGCUGGGUAAUUAAGAUUCCCGUGCUUAUUAACCCAAUUCUGAAGCUUACCGAAACCGUGAUGUUUCUGGCCAGACGCAACGUGUUCAGUUCGACCAGCUCCAGCAUGAAUCCCUGCGGAAGACCUCCAUCGAAUCCCUCCAGGCAGUCUACUUGCAGUGAGUCCACCGACUGAUUGGUCACCGAGCAGUUCUGCAGUGGAAACGGCCGACCUGCGGAUAGAGUUACGUCCACCCCGAUUAACUGGGAUAAUGCUGGUGAUGAAGAUGAUGGUGCUGUUGGGUGCUUACCGGCUGCCACAAUUUGAAACACGCAGGGACUCUUCUGCGUGCCAAUGGAGUUCUUGGCCCAGCAUGAAAUCGUGCCGUAAUCGAGGUCCGUGCUGGGUGUGUAGUUUAAUCGCGACAUGCCGGUCUUAAAGGAUAUAGAUACACAGGUAGUUAGUUAGCACUUUCAGAGUGGCUGUCCUUCAGACAAUUCUACCUCGCUGGAGUGCAGGCGAGCUGGCAGCUCCGUCUGCUCGCCUGACGAAUUGAAGGUCCACUGGAAGGAGUCCGCCGGCGGCGAGGAGUCCACUUCACACUUCAGGGGCAGGGUCUCGUGCUUGAGAGCGCCCAGCAGCUCCUCGUGGUCCGUGGCACAAAUCGGGGCAUCUAUCGAAGUCAAGUGGGAAAUUAGAGCGCUUAUUGAAAUAUUUAACGGCCAUCAAAAGGAUCGAACGACAUGACAAUGCAGCUUAGCAAUGCACUUAAAACAUUGGGGGUCAAUCAAGAAGGAAAAAUAGAAUUUAAUUGGAUUUUUAAGCGAAUCAAACCUUAUUUUAUAAAAUU
ensembl:ncRNA asRNA:CR46354 antisense RNA:CR46354